rnacentral:rRNA from 1 species
UGCCAGCCGCCGCGGUAACACGUAAGGAGCGAGCGUUGUUCGGAAUUAUUGGGCGUAAAGGGCGUGUAGGCGGUUAAUUAAGUCUUGUUUGAAAUACCGAUGCUCAACAUCGGAAAGGGACAGGAAACUGAUUGACUAGAAUCCGGUAGGGAAAUGUGGAAUUUCUAGUGUAGGGGUGAAAUCUGUUGAUAUUAGAAAGGACACCAAUGGCGAAGGCAACAUUUUGGGCCUGGAUUGACGCUGAGGCGCGAAAGCAUAGGGAGCAAACAGGAUUAGAUA